rnacentral:rRNA from 1 species
CUUGGUCAUUUAGAGGAAGUAAAAGUCGUAACAAGGUUUCCGUAGGUGAACCUGCGGAAGGAUCAUUAUCGAAUCGUAGGCGAGGGUUGUCGCUGGCCUCUCGGGGCAUGUGCACGCCCGAGCCCUUGAAUCCCAAACACCACAUGUGAACCCACCGUAGGCCUUCGGGCCUAUGUCUUAUCAUAUAAUCUGAAUGUCUAAUAGAAUGUAAACCCAUUUCGUUGCCUUGAAAACGUAACGAAAGAAAACUAUACAACUUUCAACAACGGAUCUCUUGGCUCUCGCAUCGAUGAAGAACGCAGCGAAAUGCGAUAAGUAAUGUGAAUUGCAGAUUUUCAGUGAAUCAUCGAAUCUUUGAACGCACCUUGCGCCCCUUGGUAUUCCGAGGGGCAUGCCUGUUUGAGUGUCAUUAAAUCCUCAACCCCUCCGAUUCGUUUCGGUGGGGAUUGGACUUGGAGCGUGCUGGCGAAGGUCGGCUCCUCUUUAAAUGCAUCAGCGGAGAAAAUGCCUUUUGCGCCUCUGGCCGUUCAGCGUGAUAAUGAUGUUGCGCUGCGGUCGAGCUUAAGGUCCGCUUCCAAAGGUCCUCGGACAAAUAUACAUAUGACUUUUNGACCUCAAAUCAGGUAGGACUACCCGCUGAACUUAAGCAUAUCAAUAAGCGGAG